AUUUCAGUUUUAGAUUGAGGUCAGGGGCUGUUAAAAGAUAUAAGAAAUUUUAUAAUGGGUCAUAUGCAUUUAGUUCGUGGCCCAGUUUAUGACCACAUAAAGGACAUUAUUUUCUGAUUAAUGCCAACUUUGAGUUUAGGAUAUGUUCUGGACAUACUUGCCCUUAAUUAUUUUUGUAGAUGUUUCUGUUAGCCAUUAAUGAAACAAU
rfam:Choloepus hoffmanni cont1.540097, whole genome shotgun sequence.